AUGCUUGCUUUGGCAGCACAUAUACUAAGAUUGAAACACUACAGAGAAGAUGAGCGUGGCCCCGACACAAGGAUGACAUGCAAAUUUGUGAAGUGUUCUAUUAUUUU
ensembl:snRNA U6 U6 spliceosomal RNA